rnacentral:rRNA from 1 species
GCGGCGGCGUUUAGAACGGGCAACACGACGGCCAUCCACAUCGGCAACACCAAGGCCUGCAUCGCCGGCUAUGGGGGACUCGAGGAUCCAGGCCUCUCGUACAAGCUGUGCAUCCCCUCCUGGGUCGCCUUCACCCCCAACGGCACCCUCUUCGGCGAGGCCGCCUUGAACCACGCCGCCGUCAGCCCCGGGACGGCCGUCUCCGGCUUCAAGCGGGUCCUCGGUUCCAAGAUGUUCGCCGGCAUUCUCAUAUCCAAGCUUAAGCGGAUGGCGGAGGCGCACCUGGGCCGCAAGAUCAGGAGCGCUCUCCUGACCGUCCCCUGGCACUCGAGGGACUACCAAAGGCACCUUCUCGCAACGGCCGCCCGGCUCGAGGGCGGCUUCUCCGCCGCGAGGUACGUCGACGAGCACGUUGCAGUGGCCGCGGCGCACGGCCAUCACGAGAAGGCGCGCCAAGACAAGGUCAUCCUCGUCUUCCACAUGGGCGGCCGCACGACCCACGCCACCAUGUUCAAGUUUCGGGACGGCACGGCUCGUCUCAUUGAAGGGCGCCAUGAUGCCCGCCUGGGCGGCGACGACUUCACCGGCCGGCUCGUGGACCACUUCAUCCAGCUUAUCAGGGAGAAGCACGGCCGGGACCUCCGCCGGGACGACGGCGCGCUCCGGGAGCUGAGGGCGGCGUGCGAGAGGGCCAAGAAGGCGCUAACCUACUGGGACACCACGCUUGUGAAGGUGGAGUCGCUCUUGGACGGCGCGGAUUUCUUCGAGACGCUCACGAGGGCCGAGUUCGAGGAGCUCAACCGUGAUCUGCUGGCGAGAGCCACUAGCAUGGUGGACCUGCUGGUGACGUGGAGGUGGUGGCUCCCUCCCGGCCGGUGGGACAGCAUAGACGAGAUCAUCCUCGUCGGCGGCAGCGUGAGGAUCCCCAAGAUUCUUGAGUUUUUCAGGGACUAUUUCCAUGGUCGGGAGCCAAUUGUGGAGGAGGAAGCGGCGAUUCGCGGCGCUGCUCUGCUCUCCCGCCCCGAGUCUGCAAUGUUCACAUACGACAACUGCGAUUGCCAUGGAAAUCCUUUGCAGGCGUCUGAAAACAUAAUUGAAUAG